rnacentral:lncRNA from 1 species
UUUAGUAUAAAUUGCUAAAAAAUAACCUAUAGUUAUAAAAAAUUCGAUUACUCUUAUUCUUAAAUUUUAACCUUUAAUUUCAAUUUAAUCCUCUCAAAACUAAAUUAAAUCCAAGCACUAUGACUCAAACACCUUAUAACCAAUAUAUAUUAAAUCUAGUUGAAUAUCUAUAAAGUAUUUGAUCAUAAAAUUAAUCCACACAAAUAAAUAAGACUGAAUUAAAUUUUAAAUAUUAAGAAGAGCAUAAAUAAUCAUAUAAGGCAAAUAAGUAAAGAUUGUCUCACAAGAACUAUGUUAGAGUAUCAUUAUCACCUUAUACAAUCAUCCAACACAUCCAAAAAACAAAACACACAACACAUCCAAAAAAUAAAAUUGUCAUUUUCACAUGCUACCAAUGUAAAUUUAUCAAAAUAUGAGAUCUACACACCUCUUCUUUGCUCAAUAACUGAUCGAACCUGUAACAACAUAUCAAACAUACAUUCGCAUCACGAAAUUAGAAUCACUACAAAUAUAAAAUC